GUCACGACUCAAGAUAGGUCCCUCCCAAUUCAGUGUUAUCUGGCUAACAUUGAAGUUAGUCCAAAGGGUUUGGCUAAUGUCAACAGCUAAUCAAAGAACAAGGGCAGGGCCAUCUGGCAAUUAUGUCAUUGCUGCAACUGCUAACUUCCCAUGGAGUGUGUGUGUGUGUGUGUGUGUGUGUGUGUGUGUGUGUGUGUGUAUACUCGUGUGUGCUUAUUUAUGUAUUUACCUGGACUAGAAACCCAGGGAUAUCCAAUAUCCAUUGAAUUUCACUGUGUUUCUUGAUUAUGGGAUACUUUGCCCACAUAGUCCAUCAUUCCAGUCUCUAUUUCCCCAAAUACCAUAUGGAAUGCCUCUUAACAAAAACCAUGGCUUGAACUUGGUAAACACUCCUGCUCUACUCUUUUUAUAGCAUUUCUCUUUUUUUUUAGUUAAAUUUUAUUUUUUCCAAAAAACAAAAAUCAAUUUUGUUUUCUUUUCCUCACCCCAAGCCCUGGAAAAAAGAAAAACAAACCCCUUGUUACAAAUAUACAUAUUAAAGAAAAACAAAUUCCUCUACUGGCCAUGUCCAAAAAAGUAUGCCUCAUUCUGUGCCCUGUGCUCAUUACCUCUCUCUUAGAAGAUGGGUAAUGUGCUUUAUAACUGGUCCUCUAGAACCAUGGUUGAUCACCGCUUUGUUUAGCACUUCUUAAUCUCAUCCUCUUUUCCUUGACAUUUCUCCUCAAUGAGUUCUUUCUUUCUUUCUUUCAUUCUUUCUUUCUUUCUUUCUUUCUUUCUUUCUUUCUUUCUUUCUUUCUUUCUUUCUUUCUUUCUUUCUUUCUUUCUUUCUUUCUUUCUUUCUUUCUUUCUUUCUUUCUUUCUUUCUUUCUUUCUUUCUUUCUUUCUUUCUUUCUUUCUUUCUUUCUUUCUUUCUUUCUUUCUUUCUUUCUUUCUUUCUUUCUUUCUUUCUUUCUUUCUUCCUUCCUUCCUUCCUUCCUUCCUUCCUUCCUUCCUUCCUUCCUUCCUUCUUUCCUUCCUUUCCUCAUUUC
rnacentral:lncRNA from 1 species